GCCCUGAUGGUCUAGUGGUAUGAUUCCUGCUUUGGGUUAGCUUAAAUGCAGGAGGUCUCCGGUUCAAUCCCGGAUUAGGGCC